rnacentral:rRNA from 1 species
UGGGGAAUUUUGGACAAUGGGCGCAAGCCUGAUCCAGCAAUGCCGCGUGCAGGAUGAAGGCCUUCGGGUUGUAAACUGCUUUUGUACGGAACGAAACGGUCUUUUCUAAUACAGAAGGCUAAUGAUGGUACCGUAGAAUAAGCACCGGCUAACUACGUGCCAGCAGCCGCGGUAAUACGUAGGGUGCGAGCGUUAAUCGGAAUUACUGGGCGUAAAGCGUGCGCAGGCGGUUUUGUAAGACAGAGGUGAAAUCCCCGGGCUCAACCUGGGAAUUGCCUUUGUGACUGCAAGGCUUGAGUGCGGCAGAGGGGGAUGGAAUUCCGCGUGUAGCAGUGAAAUGCGUAGAUAUGCGGAGGAACACCGAUGGCGAAGGCAAUCCCCUGGGCCUGCACUGACGCUCAUGCACGAAAGCGUGGGGAGCAAACA